GCUCACGGCUCAGUCCCUACAUAUUUAUGCCGCGUUCCCAGCGGCUGGGUGAGGAGCUACUUAGCGCCGCGGCUCCUCGGAGGGGCGGCCGGGCAGCGAGCAGCGAGCAGCGGCCGAGUGGACGGGGUGAGCCAGGGGCGCGUGCGGGGCGCCCAGCACUGCGCCGGGGAAGCUCGCAGCCUCCGUCCCGAACUUGGGUUCGCUGAGGCUGAGGGAGGGGACGCAAGGGGAGGGGAGAAAAGAAGGGAGGAGUGGGGGCUAGGGGAGAGGGGGUGGGGAGGGAUCUUGGAGGCACAAAGCGGAGGGGAAGGGGAGGGACGCGCGCGGCUCCUACCAGGAGGCGAGUGGGUGCAACCGGCGCCCUCCAGCCGCGCGGGGCGGUGGACUCGGAGGAUUCAGACCCCGGAGCGCGGCGGCCGCUGGCGCCCGGGAGAAAGAGGAGGAGUAGGAGGCGGGCGGGCGGGUGCGCAGCGCGAAGAGGCAGCCUCCGCGCUGCCCGGCUCGGCGGCAGGUGAGUUCCUGAUCCGGGCGUCCCGCGCCCCUUCUCCGUCCCCAGGGCUCCCCGCUCCCGCCCGAGUCCCUGGUGUGCGCGGAAGGCUCGGGCUUUGCUGCGCGUCCCAACUUGGUUCGGGCGGCCUCAUUUUCCUCCUAGCGGGCGGCCCCAGGCCAGGGGCUCCAGUCCGGGGGUCUGUGCGCCCAGGCUCCAACUUUGCAGGACCCCAGUCGCUCCCCAGCCGCGCGCUCGGCUCCGAGCUGUGCGCUGGCGGUAAUGGCGGAGCCCUUGGCACAGCUCGCUACCUUCCCGCGGGCAGCCCUGGCUGGGGGAUGCCAGUCCCUGGGGACCGUUGUACCUGCCCAAGCUCAACUUUACGCCUUCCUCUGUGCCAGACUCUGCGGCCGAAUUGCAACUGCGAGCCGCAGGUAAUGGCGGAGUCUUUGGCACCGCCAGCCGUCCGCUGCUGGGGGCCCGAGGCUGGGAGGGCUCCGCUCCCCGGAACAUCGCCUGGGCCUGGCCUCCAACUUUGUGAGGAGCCUCCUUGCGCUCUCCUCCCGCGGUCAUUUCUGGGCCGCCCGCACCUCGCACUUCUUCCGUCUGGGCGAGAUUGGGGUGUAAGAGCGCCGUCUCCAGAACCUGGGAAAGUUGUGCCUCUCCCGCGAAGGAAGCUCUAG
rnacentral:lncRNA from 1 species